rnacentral:lncRNA from 1 species
AGGUCGCUCCCGCGAUGGAGGGAUGUGCGGGCGGGCUAGGAUUCCGUGGUUAAGCCUGUGGCCUCUGGAGCCGCGAGUUUGAAUCCUGGUUGCAGCUGUUCCACUUACUAGCUCUGUGGCCAUGGGUAAGGUGCCCAUCCUCAGUUUCUCCGUCUGCAAAAUGAAAGCGAAUUCUUAGUGUUGUUGUGGACUCAUGAGAUGAUGCAUGGAAGCAAGGGCGAAGUCGCUGUAGCUUUCUUUAUUUAUGAGAGAAAAGGAGCUGCCCAGGUGAGAGGACAAAAACCCGAGAAAACAGACCCGGAAAAGAUGGUUUUGGUUGCGGGCUAGGAAGGAGAUGUAGCAGAUGAAGCUGGAGAAGUCCGAAGGAGGCCUUAAAUUUUGCAGGGCCUCCUUGGUGUGGGAAGGAGUUUGGUUUCUGCAGUGGUGAAGAACCAUGGAAGUACCGUAUUUAGCAGGGGAUUUUGUGCAGGUCACUCAGCUCCUGCGUGGAGAAUAAGGCGGGGAUGGAUGUGCUAAAGGCAGAUCGAUGCUUAGGUAUUGCAGGACUAGAGAGAAGGGAAUGGGCACCUGGAUGAAAGGGUGAUGCGGGGGCGGGGGUAGACAAUAGUGGAUUGUUUUAAAAGAAAUUGUGAGGGAGAGGGAGUUAAGGAUAAAUAUUCUGUUUGAGUAACUGCAUGCAUGUUUGCACCUUUCAGGGAGAGCUAGGAAAUGCUGAAGGGGUGGGCAGUAGAGAGGCAGAUGUUUAGAUUCAGACAGGCUCCCAACCCAGUGAAGAUCAAAGCUGUGAUAGAAAGGAUCGCUGGGUCAGCUCAGCUGGCAGGCCAAGCCCCACGGUAUCUGAAGUUUCCCUGGAGGUUGCUCAGGGCACAUGGGAGUGUGGAAUGUAGCAACCAUUUUGUGCAAACGUUAGGGACUCCAUAAGCCUCUAAAAAAUUAGCAAUUGUAUGAGGACUCCGGACCAGAAGAAUGUGGCUAGCAUUCCAGGCAAGACAGGAUGGAAUUUUCACUGUCCUUCAACCAACUGAAAGGCUCCAAUAAAGUCUUGGGUAUUUACCCUGAACCAGCCAAGGCUUUGGAGUCACUGGCAGGAAUCCGAGUAUCUAACUGUUUUCAGGGCAGAAUAGAUGGGGAGGGUACGGCUGUGGAAGACACAUGCAUUUCCACUUUCUUCUGUAAAUGCAGCUCAGUGUUCCCGGAUGCAAUGAUAAAGAUGUCUAGGAUUUGCUUCAAAACAAAACAAAGGGAUGGGGAAGCAGAUGGGAGUGUAGAUGAGUCAAAAGUGGCCGCAAGUUACUAAUUGUUAAAGCCACGUAAUGGGGAUGUGGAGAUUCGUUGUACUGUCUCUAUAUUGUUGUGGAUGUUUAAUGGGGAUGUGGAGAUUCAUUGUACUGUUUCUAUAUUUUUGUGGAUGUUGAAAAAUAUUUUCUUCUUUCUUUUUUUUUUUUGAGAUGGAGUCUCCCUCUAUUGCCCAGGCUGGAGUGCAGUUGUGCAAUCUCUGUUCACUGCAACCUCCGCCUCCCGGGUUCAAGUGGUUCUCCUGCCUCAGCCUCCCAAGUAGCUGGGACUACAGGCAUGUGCCACCAUGCCUGGCUAACUUUUGCAUCUUUAGUAGAGAUGGGGUUUUACCAUGUUGGCCAGGCUGGUAUCGAACUCCUGACCUUGUGAUCCGCCCACCUUGGCUUCCCAAAGUACUGGAAUUACAGGCAUAAGCCACCACACCCGGCCGAAAAAUAUAUUUAAAAAGGUAAGAAACACACAAGACAAGCAGCUUGGACUUAUCUUCUCCAUGAUACCUACCCAGUAUCCCUGUGAGCAGCUGACAUUCCUUUCUCCAAGCAGUUGCUGUAUUUUGAACAUUGCUCGAGCAAGAAACUUUUUAUAAUGGGUUUAUUUAUCCAUGUCACCUGCUAUACUAUGUUUAUUGUAGCUCAGCAUGAUUUCCAGGUACCAAGCACAGUACUUGGUGCGUAAUAGUGCUAACUGAAUGUUGGAUGGAUGGAGGGAUUAAAAAAAAGAAAAACACCUGAAUAUCAGACACUUAAUAAAUGUUUCUUGGGAGGCCGAGAUGGGCGGAUCACGAGGUCAGAAGUUCGAGACCAGCCUGGCCAACAUGGUAAAACGCCGUCUCUACUAAAAAUACAAAAAUUAGCUAGGUGUGGUGGCAGGCACCUGUAAUCCCCACUGCUCAGGAGGCUGAGGCAGGAGAAUCACUUGAGCCCGGGAGGCAGAGGUUGCAGUGAGCCGAGAUCACGCCAUUGCACUCCAGCCUGGGUGACAGAGCAAGACUCUGUCUCAAAAAAAAUAAAAAAUAAAAUAAAUAAAUGUUUUCUGAACUGUAUUCUCUAUCUGUUCUUAGUUAAUUUGUGUUUGCCAUUUUUAAAGUCAAAAACCAGGGAGAGUUCUCUACACAAUGUAAAUAUUUGAUAAGUACUUAUUAAUUGCUUAUUGUGCUAGUCUAUUCUUUAAAUAUCAGAGGUUCCAAAACAAAGAGCUCCAAUAGUAGGAUCACAGUCAGGUAACCAAUUAUCCGAGUAGGAAGGUUGCCUUAGUUGAAGUAACUGGAGGUGAAUGGGGAUUUGUCAGGCAGGCUCUUCCAGAUAAAGGUGAACCUUCCCUGUUGUUUUGAUAGAAGGAGGAAAUGGAAUGACCAUCAAGAGAAAGGUAGUUGCUGGCUUGAGAGGAUCAUCUGUGCAACAGGCAGCUAAGCAGAAGAAGACUUUAUAUAUAUUUUUAAUACCACCCACACUGUUGCUAGUAUUCCCCACCACUCCAUUGGCCUGGUGAACUCUUAUUCAUCCUUCAAAACCCAGCUUAACCAUGGCCUUCAGGAAAUCUUGAGCUGGCUUCCCAGGACAGAGUGGGUCAGUCCUCUGCAUGCUCCUGCUGCUGUGCUGUACUCACCAUACUGUACUGUAAUUUACUGGUUUGUAAGUCAUUUCCACUGCUGGGUUGUGAGCUCCUCCAAGGCAGGGGCUUUGCCUUAUCUGCCUAUGUUCCCAGGACUUACACAGUGCCUGAUGUGUAGUAGGUACCCCAUGAAUGUUUUACAUAAUUAGCAGGAGCGUAUCAGGUAAAUUAGCAAAGCAAACUGUGGGAUGUGGGAUGUCAGACAAUAGGAGUAGGUGGGCUUAUGGGAGCUGAAGAGCACAUGCUCCUCAGCUCUGAUUGAUUGCUCUGUGCGAUAGGGGCCCAGUGGUGGUGGAUCUAACAACUUUUUAAGAGAUUCUGACAAUUCAGACUUUACAUGUUGAAUAUUCCGGAUUUUCAACAUUAGCAACUAAUUCCAUUUGGAGGAAAAAAUGUAGCAUGGGUCUACAGACAAGAUCUGGCUGUAAUUCAUGUUCAGAGGUAAUCAGGAAACGAUUAGUUUACUGAAAAUGUAGUCGACAAUCAAAUGGCUGCUAGGUUGCCAAUAAAAUGUGUUGAGUGGAAUUCACAUGCCCCAGAAAGCUCCUCCUGGUGCUGUGGGCAAGGAAGAGGGCCCAAGUGUGGGAAGAAGGAUUCAGGAGGCAGAGCCAACUCUCCCAGUGCUGCCGGAGCCACUCUUGCUUGAGCUGAAGUACUGUGGACUGUUUUGCAGCCUUCUUGAUAUUGCUCAAACUGAGCCACCCUUGAUAUUGUGCCUAUCAGAAUGAUGGAUUAAAUGUUAUUGUUUCCUUAUAUUCCAUAGGCAUCAGAUAUCAACUGUCAUUGUGAAACAUAUUACAAUGUAAGAGAUUUGAUAUUGUCCUAACAGCUUUAGUCUCUGGUGGCUUUACUGAGCUCUUCUGGUUUAGAGGUGAAACAACCCAGAGAAAGGAUUUAUUUAUGUAUUCGUUUUUGGUCUGAAGACCAAAAAGGAUGUUUGCAAGAUAUUAACAGUAAUCAUUCAUUCAACAACUGUUUUUAAAGCACCUGCUGUACGAUACCUGCUACAGAUACAGUGAUGGUGAAAGUAUAGUUGUCUCAGUGUUAUUAUAGAAGCUUUUACUCUGUAUUUUCCUCGAUUUCUAUUUUCUGUACUGAUCAUGCAUAAUUUUUUACAAUCAUUAAAAAAACAAGAAAGCAAUGUCUUUUUGCAAAAAGGGAAAAAAAAGCUUUCUUUUGCUUUGAAAAAUGUGCCCUCAAGAGAGGAAUCCACUUGGGGGGUUGGGCUUUUAUUUCCUAAAAACUACUUAGAGAGUCCAGUAAGAGAAAUAAUGCAAAGAAAAUAUUAACAGUUUGAAAAUUCUUUAGCAAAUAUCAAGUCCAACGGAUUUAUCUUAUUGAAGAGAAAACCAAAGUACAGAUGAGCAAAUGACUCAGUCAAGGUUAUAGGUGUGACCCAGUCAGGGCAGAACAGACUAAGGUCUAGAUCUUCUGCUUUCCAGCCCUGUAAGCUUUUCCAUUACACCAAGUCGACUUGUCAUAAACAUUCAUUUGUUUGAGACAGUCUCUUCUGAUUCAUUUUAAGGUAGUCUUCAGAUAUUUUAUUGGGUAAAUCUUUCAUUUGUCCAAAUCUAUAUAUAGCUGUUUUCUUUCCAAAAAAAAGUCUAGGCUCUUUCAAAUUGCUGAGUCAGAGAACAUCUCAGUAUUUAUAACGCUUCAGAGUUGGUUCUAUAUAUUUACACAGUACUCAGAGAAGUGUCUCAGAAACCGGUGAACUAAUUAAAUUGUAAUGAAACUCCAUGAAGGUCGUAACUGUUCCUAUCCAAAUUCAUCAUGUAUUCUACCCCAGCACCCAGUACAGUGCCUGACACACAGUAGGUGCCCAAUAAAUAUUUGCUGAAGGAAUAAAUUCUAAUAGAAUUGAGAUUUUUCUGUUUACAAGGGAUUACUUCACAUGUUAUUUUUCAUAUUUCCCCAAUGAACUCAAAACGGAAAUAUUCACCAGCCUGCUUAACAUUGCCAUUUGAAUAAUAGAAACCUAGAAUUUAACACCUCAGAAAGUAAGCUUCUACUUAAAAAAAAAAAUUAGCUGGGUGUGGUGACACCUACCUUUAGUCCCAGCUACUCGGGAGGCUGAGGUGGGAGGAUCACUUGAGCCCAAGAGGUCGAGGCUGCAGGGAGCCGUGAUCAUGCCACUGCACUCCAGCCUGGGAGACACAGUAAGGCCCCAUUUCAAAAAAAAAAAACAAAAAGUCCUGAUUUUACCCCUAAACCUACUCAUUUUCCAAGUAAAUGGCAGCAGCAUUCAUUUACCUAGAGACAGAAACUUAGGGUCAUUCUUGACCUCUGUCUCUCAUACCCUUCAUCCAAUUCUCUAGUGAAUCCUGCAGCUCUUCCUGCAGACUACUUUUUUUUUUCUUUUCUUUUCUUUUCUUUUUUCUUUUUUUGAGACAGAGUCUUGCUCUGUCACCCAGGCUGGAGUGUAGUGGCUCACUGCAGCCUCCACCUCUGAGAUUCAAGUGAUUGUCCUUCCUCAGGCUCCCCAAGUAGCUGGGAUUACAGGUGCCCACCACCACACCCAGCUAAUUUUUGUAUUUUUAGUAGAGACAGCAUUUCACCAUGUUGGUCAGGCUGGUCUCGAACUCCUGACCUCAGGUGAUCCGCUCACCUCAGCCUCCCAAAGUGCUGGGAUUACAGGUGUGAGCCACCAUGCCCGGCCCUGCAGGCUAACUUCUGAAUCCAGCCACUCCUCCCCACCUCCACCAAGACCACGCUGAUCCAGGUACCAUUCAGCUCUCCUGCAACAGCCUCCUAACUGCUCCCCCUGCUUUCUCUCUUGCCCCCUUAUGAAUUGUUUCUCCUCCUAAGGUAAUCAGAUCAAGUCACUUCCCAGUUCAAAGCUCUUCCAUGGCUUUCCUUCAAACUUAGGGAAAAAACCCAAAGCCCUUACCAUGGUCUAAAAAGCCCUGCGUGAUCUGGCUUCCUCCAUGGCCUCAUUUCCUGCCAUUCUCCCCUCAGUGUGCACCAACCAAACUGGCCUUCUUGCUCUUUCUUGAACAAGCCUAGUAUAUUCCCACCUCAGGGCUUUUGCACUGGCUAAUUGCUCAGCCUGGAACUCUCUUUCCUCACAUUCUCAUAGCUUGCUCUUUCAUUCUUAAAUCAGAGCUGCAAUGUCAGCUCCUCAGAAAGGCCUUGGCUCACACUCCUGCAUAAAUGCCUCCCCUUAACUGGCUUCAUCUUUCUUCACUGCAUGUAAUCACUACCUAAAAUUAUAUAUGUUUAUUAGUGUAUUAUGUGUCUCUUCUGAUUAUAAGGCUUCAUGAGGCCUGGCAAAGAUUCUUAUUUUAUCACUGUAUUCCUAGCCUCUAAAGCAAUGCCUGGCAUAUAGUAUGUGCUCAAUAAAUGUUUACUUAUUGAAUGAAUGAAUGAAUAUUUUCCUGGACCUUUUCAUCUCUUGCUGCCUAACCUAACAUUGCCAACUUGGAGGAAGAUGAGUUAUCAAAACUGAUUCAAAGGACCUGAAAUAAACGUUCCAAACCUUAGAAGGUCACAAUAUAGUAGCUCUGGGCAUAGGUUGCCCCAAUAACUUCUUUCAAGCUAGGUCCAGUGCAAGAACCUUAUUCUCCCCUGUCAAGACACACCACUUUGCACUUUUCACCCUUUAAAUUUAGUUUGUAUAUUUUAUGUUGUUUAUACACCUGAAAGCAUAUAAAAGGUGCUUGUCUUCUCCCUAGAAUUCUAGCCAGGAUACUGCUGGGUGUACAAUGAGCUGGAUUAUUCUGCAGAAUUUACAUCACAUAAGUAAUUUGCCUGUGCCUUAGAUCUGUUUAAAUAUCUGUGAAGUCAUUUAAAUUCAUUUAACUCAAGGGAUUUCCUAACAACCUCCCUCUUGGUCUGUUCUCCCAGACUUAGAAGUUGCUUCUUCAAUUUCUCCCUCUGUAAAACUGGGGCAAUCGUAGCAGUUCUUACAGAGUGGUUAUGAGGAUUAAAUGAGACAGCAGUGAUGAAGUGCUGACAAGAAGAUCCGGCCCGUAGCAGGUGUUCAGUGAAUGCUAAGAGCUGUUACAUGUAUCAUUACUAUCACCACCAUCAUUCUUGUUUUCAAUGGCAUCCUUGCCCAGCUCAGAAAUGAUUAGCUUCUAGUUGACUUUCAAGUCAAUUAGUCUCUUCACCCCCCAGUCAGGGCCCACCAGUGAUACCUCCUCCAGUUCUGGUUGACAGUCUCAUUGCUUGUUUUUCUCUAAUAUUAGUGCUGGGUUUUUGGUGAAUUUCAUCUAUUUUCUAACUCCACCUGACAUCUUCAUUUUCUACUCCAGGGCUUUAAACAUCCCAUUCUACACCUUUUAUUGCAUGUUCCUUGCCUUUAUUUUUUUUUAAUGUUUAAAUCCAUCCUUGUGUUUUCUGAAAUAUGUCAGACCUCUUCUUUAACCAGUAAGUUUUGAAACUAAUUAAUACUUUAAUACAUUUAGCUUUUAAAAAUGUCUUUAUUGAGGUAUAAUACACAGUAAAGUGCACUAAUCUUAAGUGCACGGCUGAAUGAAUGUUUCCAUGUGAAAUGGAAACAUUUCACACGUGUGAAAUCCCCAGCCACGUCAAAAUAUAGAACAUUUCCAGCAACCCAGAGGCUCCCUAAGGCCCGUUUCCAAUCGGUGCUACCCAAAAGAAACUGGCCGGGCGCCGUGGCUCACGUCUGUAAUCCCAGCACUUUGGGAGGCUGAGGCGGGCGGAUCACAAGGUCAGGAGUUCAAGACCAGCCUGGACAACGUGGUGAAACCCCGUCUCUACUAAAAUACAAAAAAAAAAAAAAAAAUUAGCCAGGCUGGUGGAGGGUGCCUGUAAUCCCAGCAACUCGGGAGGCUGAGGCAGGAGAAUCACUUGAAAGCAGAAGCCGGAAGGCAGAGGUUGCAGUGAGCCGAGAUCACACCACUGCACUCCAGCCUGGGCAACAAGAGUGAAACUCUUGUCUCAAAAGAAAAAAAAAAAAAGAAAGAAAAGAAACCACUGUUAUGGCUUCUAUCACUAUUGAUUUGUUUUUCCUGUUCUUGAACUUUUGCAUUUGGUUUCUUUCACUCAAUGUGAUAUCUUCAAAAUUCUUUCGUUUUGUUGCUUGUAGCAAUAGUUGGUUCUUUAUUGCUGUGAGUAUACCAUUGUGUGACUACUCCACAAUAUAUUUAUCCAUUUUCCUAUCGAUGGAUAGAUAAUUUUUCCAUUUCAGGGCUAUUCUAAUAAAACUGUUAUGAACAUUUAAAAUAUAUGGUUGGCACUUUGGGAGGCUGAGGUGGGCAGAUCACUUGAGGCCAGGAGUUUGAGACCAGGCUGGCCCACAUAGCAUCUCUCCUAAAAAUACAAAAAUUAGCCAUAUGUGGUGGCGGGCACCUGUAAUCUCAGCUACUUGGAAGGCUGAGGCAGGAAAAUCCCUUGAGCCCGGGAGGCGGAGGUUGCAAUGAGCCGAGAUCGCACCACUGCACUCCAGCCUGGGCAACAGAGUGAGACUCCAUCUCAAAUAAAUAAAUAAAUAAAUCUCCAAUAAAUAAAUAAAAUAAAAAUACAUGGUUGAAUUUAUGCACUUUUUUCCACAGGAGGAUAUGGCCAAGAGUUCAGCUGCUGGGUUGCAGGGUUGGCACAUAUGUUCAGCUUGAGCUGCCAGUUUUCCAAAGUGGUUGUACCAAAUUAUACUCCCACAGUAAUGUCUGAGAGUUCCAGUAGCUUCACAUGCUCCAGUAAUUGGUGGUAUCAGUCUUUUAAUUAUGCCUGUCCUGGUGGGUGUGUUGGUGUCCUGGUAGGUGUCUUAUUUUCAUUCGUAUUUCUCUAAUGAAUAAUGAUGUUGAACACCUUUCUGUAGGCAUUUUGAUCACUUGGUGAUUUUUUGGGGUUAGGUGAUUACUGAAGUUUUCUCUCAUUUUUAACUUGGAUUUUUUUUUUUUUUUUUUUGAGAUGGAGUUUCACUCUUGUUUUCUGGGCUAGAGUGCAAUGGUGCAAUUUCAGCCCAACACAACCUUGGCUCACUGCAACCUCCACCUCCGGGGUUCAAGCGAUUCUCCUGCCUCAGCCUCCCGAGUAGCUGGGAUUACAGGCAUGCACCACCACGCCCAGCUAAUUUUGUAUUUUUAGUAGAGACAGGGUUUCGCCAUGUUGGUCAGCCUGGUCUCGAACUCCCAACCUCAGGUGAUCUGCCCGCCUCAGCCUCCCAAAGUGCUGGGAUUACAGGCAUAAGCCACCGCGCCCAGCCAACAGUUGGAUUUUUAAAUUAACAUUUAGGUGUUCUUUAUUUUAUAUAUAUAAUAAUAUAUAAAUAAAGACAGAUUUCUUCUCCUAGUCUGUGGCUUGCCUUUCUACCCUGUAAAUGGUAUCUUUGAUGAACAGAUAUUCUUAGUUUUCAUGAAGUUCAAUGUAUCAAUAUUUUCUUUUAUGGCUGGUGCUUUUCAUAAUCUGUUUAAGAAAUCUCAGCAAUCAUGAGAUUCUCCUGUGCUUUCUUCUAGAAGCUUUUUUUGUUUUCCUUUUCACAAUUAGGUCUAUGAUCCACCUCAAAUACAUGCAUUUUCUUGAAUCCAGCUCAAAAUCUAUCUCUUUUCAGAGACUCAUAGACCUAAAUGUAAAUUCACGCAUGCUUUUAAUCACUCAUUCAUUAAAAAAAAAAAAAUUUAAGCACUACCAUAUGCCAGGCGCUUAGGGGAAACCAAAAGCAAUAAGAAUCAACAUUUAAUUUAAGAAACAUAUUGGCUAGCAGGGGAGGGAGUGAGACUUGCACGUGAACAAUAUCUAAAAAGUAAUCAUUUAGUUGGAAAACCUGAUGUGCCCUGAUCAUUCAAACAUGCUGCGUGGAGUCACCUCCUUUAUAACAUAGGCAGGUGGAUUCUAUUCCCUAAAUGCCAGUGAUCGUGUCUUCAACACCCUUUACUAGUACCCCUUUACUCCGGUAAAAGUCCAGGUCUUUGUGCCUGGUGCUUGAGGUGUCCACCAUCGGGCCCCUCCCUCCUUCCUCAACCUCAUUUUCUGAAUGCUCAUUAUCCUUCAUCCAAACCCUCCACACGGACUCACCUGAAUUCCUGAACAGAGUCAGCUGAUUCAUCCUGCCAGUUCUUUGUCUCUGCUUUUCCCUCCUGCCUGAACUUCUCUCCUGUGACUUUGAUGCCUGAAAAACCUCUUGCCUCUACUGCAUUACCUCUGUGAAGCCUCUUCCGGCUUGCUUGCGCGUUGAAAUCUACCUCAGGAGGCAGAUUGCAAGGUGCAAAUCCAGCUUCUAUCACUUUCCAGCUCUGCAACCCUGGACAUGUUACUUAAGCUGCCCAAGCCUCAGGUUCCUCAUUGGGAAUAAUUGCAAUUCCUGCUCUAUAUGGUUUUGCACAGAAUGAACAAGUGUGGCCAGGUGUGGUGGCUCACGCCUGUAGUCCCUGCACUUUGGGAGGCUGAGGCAGGCAGAUCACCUGAGGUCAGGAGAUUGAGACUGGCCUGGCCAAUGUGGUGAAACCCCGUCUCUACUAAAAAUACACAAAUUAGCUGGGCAUGGUGGCAGGUGCCUGUAAUCACAGCUACUCGGGAGGCUGAGGCAGGAGAAUCGCUUGAACCCAGGAGGCAGAGGUUGCAGUGAGCCAAGAUUGUGCCACUGCACUCCAGCCUGGAUGACAGAGCGAGAUGCUGUCAACAACAAAAAAAAAUGAACAAGUUUAUCCAGAUACAGUUGGGUAGCGCAGUGUCUGGCACAUAGUAAAUUCUCAGUAACUGUUAGUCUAAAAAAACAUAGUCACACCCAUCACACUAAUGACAUUUAUUUGUUAACAUUUUGGUCCUUACACCAGACUGGAAGUUUCUUUUCUUUUUUUUUUUUUUAACAUUUACUUAUUAUUUGUUUGUUUUUUAAAUUCAAGAUGGGAUCUCACCAUUUUGCCCAGGCUGGACUCCUGGGCUCAAACAAUCCUCCCACCUCAGCCUGGGAGUUUCCUGAAAUCAGAGCUCUUUUUCUUAAUUCUUCUGUGAUUCUAGUGCCCCUCUGUGAAGUUCUUAUUCAGUGCAAUUCCCUGUGCAGGGAGCUUUAUGUUUAUUACCCUCAAUGAAUCCUUGCAACCGCCUACAAGAUAAGAAUUAGGGUCUCCAUGUUAUGGUUUAAAAGAUGGAGGCUUGCUGGGUAUGGUGGUUCACACCUGUAAUCCCAGCACUUUGGGAGGCUGAGGCGAGCAGAUCACCUGAGGUCAGGAGUUCGAGACCAGCCUGGCUAACACGGUGAAGCCCCAUCUCUACUAAAAUACGAAAAUUAGCCAGGUUUGGUGGCACACGCCUAUAAUCCCAGCUACUUGGGAGGCUGAGGCAGAAAUGCUUGAACCCAGGAGGCAGAGGUUGCAGUGAGCCGAGAUCACACCACUGCACUGCAGCCUGAGUGACAGAGUGAGAUUCUGUCUCAAAAACAAAAAGAUGGAGGCUCAGAGAGGUGAACCCCUGUCCUAUGCUAAUAUCAACUAAUUCAUGGUAUAGCCAGGGUUUUGAAUCUUUGCUUCAUUGCAAAGUGUAUGAGCCAUUCAUCAUACAUCGCUUCCUCUCUGUGCAUCCCCAGCACCUACACAGUGAACUCGGGAAAUAUUUGAUGAAUGGAAUUGAAUUUGUUAAGCCCAGAGCCCACCCAGUGUUUCCAAAUGUAUCAUGGGUUCAUUUGAGCUGCUAAUGGUCUCAAUGUGGCCCUCAAAGCCUAAUCAAUCCAAGACUGAGAACCUCUGGCAAAGAAGAUAGCAUCUAGCACAGCUGACUGUGUCUUCUACUUUUCCCUCUUGGGAAACAGUGGUUUCAACAUCAUUAAUUUGUACUUUGCGACUUCAAGGUGUGCUCUUUAAUUGACACAAUGUUGCCUUUCCAGAGGAACAGGUUGUCACUUUUCACAAAAUUUGUCCUAUUUAAUGGAACUUUGUCUGGUGUCUAAUUACCUACUGUUUCUUCUCUUGCUUUAUGACAGUUCUAAGCUUCUAAAUUGUGUGCCAAGAGUCUUGGGAAGACCCUUUUCACUUCUGGAAGCUUGGCCUCUCUAGCUCAAUUGUAAAUGUCUUGAGAGCAGGGGCCACAUUGUAACCAUCUAUAUCUCUCAUGGCACCAGACUCAGGCAGCAAUGCAAUAAGUCUUUGCCACAUUCAUUAUCUGUGUACUUGUUACUUGCUGGACACUGGGCUAGGUUUUGGGAAGGAGAAAGGAGGAAUCAGAUUGAGAUCUUGUCCUCUAGGAGCCUACAAUCCAACAGGACAUAAGACUGAAACACAAAAGUCUAACGUGGAAAAAUGGUGUGUGUGGUGGGGAGUGUGGCUGAGAGCUAUGCUAGGCUGCAACCAUUCUCAAAAGCAUCACUUGUACUUAAAGAUUGGUGGGAAAUUCUUUGAUAUGAAAACAAGUGUGGGUCUAAUAUGGAGGUAAAACACAGAUUUGAAGAUGCUAUAUUAGAUAGACUCUUCCCUCCAUCUCCCUCAUAGGUGACUUCCCUUAGGAGUAUUUUGGUAGGUGAUAUUAACAGACAUUGCCAUUGGCAUCAGAUAGAAUUAGAUUUUCAAUUCAAAGUCUGCACUGUCACUUCCGAGCUGUGUUGUGUGACUUUGAGCAAGUGACCUGGAGAACGUUCUCUGAACCUCAGUUUAUUCAUGGUUUUUGGGAGAAUAAGUUUUUUCUUUUUUAAUUUUAAUUUUAGAGAUGGGGUCUCACUGUGUUGCCCACACUGAUCUUGAACUGCUGUCCUUAAGCAAUUCUCCUACCUAAGCCUCCCAAAAUGCUGGGAUUACAGGGGCAUGCCACCGUGCCCCGCCAGGAUAAGCGUCUCAUAUAAAGCUUUGUUCACACACAUGGUAGCUUUCAUACUUACUGUGAGGAAAUGAAUGUUUACAGAGUGGAUGGAUGGAUGGAUGGAUGGAUGGAUGGAUGGAUGGAUGGAGCUGGGAACAAGACAGUCUGUUGCCACAUAACAAAAAAAGGCAUAUAUUCCCUUUAUCAUUAAUUCUUUGCAAUUCUAUAGUAUUUUGUACCCUCAAAGUACAAAAAAUAAAGAAAUUAGAAGUAUCCCUAUUUCACCUAUGAGAAAAAUAGAGGCCUCAAGAAAUGCCCACAAUCUUAUAAAAAUUGAGAUUAGUCCACUUGAGAUUUGGACCAGCACCUGGUUUGGGAUCUUUAACACAAUUGGUUAGUCUGGGGGUAGGAACAAGGAGAAGGUACACACCUGUCACACGACCGCCUUUCCUUUCUGAGCUGUGUGCGGCCUGUGAAUUUCAGCCAUAUAUCACCAGUCACAGAAUCACCGAAUCCUCAGAGCUGGGGCAGUGCAGAAGUGCUUCACUUCCCUAUUGAGAAUCUGAAGCAAGCUGUGGAUUCUACUGUCCUUGAGAACACGCAUGCACACAGAAAGUCACAUGCAGUUUCAGGAAGCCAAUGGGGCACCCUGAAGCCCCUCCAUCACACCUCCUCAGGUACUCAUGACCACUCUACAGUGAACAAACCGAGACUAACCAACCCCAGAAACCACAAACUCAUUACCUCCAGGCACAUUGGUGGAAACAGUAACACCCAACAUCACAGACUCUGGCAACUUCAGCCAGGGACAAAUCACUAUCUCAACUCUGUGAUCAUUUUAAUUCUAAAAUGUUUAUCCUUCAGUAACUAUUCAAAGCCAAAGCAUUCAUUUCCCUCCCAGACUUUCACAAGUCUUGGUGGAGAUGAGAAUUGAGGUUAUCUGUGUUUUAGAGAUCAAAAUUGCCAGUGUGGUAAUGGAAUGGGGUGGAGCCCAGUGAACAGGAUAAUCCAUGGGUUACUCAACAAUCGAUUGGCUUCACAACAGGCCAUGGCUUCAUCACCAUGAAAGCCAAGAUUGGCCACCGUAGAUAACCAGAUUUGCAGCUGAAUGAGGGUUGGGGAGGCCAUUCAGUUUACACGUUAAUUCCACAACACAUGUACUGAGUACCUGCCAUGUGCCAGAUACUGUUCCAGAUGCCUAGAAGACAUCUGAGACUAAAACAUGGAAACUCCUUGCCCCACGAAACUUACAUCCUAGUGAGAAAGGUGGACAAAUACCAACAAACAUAGUAAGUAAAUUAUACAAUAUAUUAAGUGACAAAAAGCUAUGGGGAAGAAGUAAACUUAAGUAGGGUAAGGCAAUGGGGAGUGUGUGUGAUGGAGGGGCAAGCUGUGAUGUUAAAUUAGGGUCAGGAAAUCCUUACUGAACAGGAGAUUCGAACAAACUUGAUGGAAGAGAAAACACACAUUCCUGAAAGGACUGAGCCAAGAGGCUGCCAACAAGGAUGCUAAACAGUUAAAAUUGAUUCAUGCACUCAACAAAUAUUUAUUGAGUGCAUUAAGAGCUGGGUGCUUGUGGUCAUCGAAGUAGUGGCCCCCAAAGAUACCCAGGUCCUAAUCCCUGGAAUCUGUGAAUGUUGCUUUAUGUGGCAAAAGGGACUUUGCAGAUGUAGUCAAGGUAAGGAUCUUGAUAUGGGAAGAGUCUCCUGGAUUAUCUGGGUGUGGCCAUGGAAGCAGGGGGAGAGAGGGUGAAGGAAUGGGGCCACAAGCUAAAAACUGAGGCAGCUGGAAAAGUCAAGGAAGUGGAUUCACCUAUAGAGGCUCCAGAAGAAACAGCCCUGCUAAGACCUGGGUUUUCAUCCUUGUGAGACUCAUUUUGGAUUUCUGACCCCCAGAAGUGUAAGAAAAUCAAUUGAUGUUUUAAGGCAUUACCAAGUUGGCAGUAAUUUUUUUGCAUCAGCAGGAAACUUGUGUUCAUGUGUGAAGUGCUGAAGCGUAGUGCUCAGGCCAGCAUGAGUUGUCAAUAGACUUUAGCGGUUAUUGGUGUUGUAAUUAUUAUAAUAAACAAGCUCAAUUCCUGCCCUUACCUAGAGAGGAUGCACAAACAACAUGUACAUCACUGUCCCUCUUAUACUAAUUCCAAUGGUAAUGCAAAUAACCCUGAACUAGACCACGGCUUCUUGCUUUCCCCAACCAAAUGGCAGACUGAAGACAAAGUCACAACGCCAAGAUGACCUUCAGGCAAUCCAGGCCUUCCACCAGUCCCAAAGCCACCCCCCAACUUUCCCACCAACUCCAGGAUAUCAAUCCCCUUCAGUCCUCCUGGGACACAGUUGAUGUACUCACCUAAAGAAAAUACUGGUGAAUCCCACCAGGACGUGUGACUCUGAAUGGAGCACAGGUAUGCUGGACUAACAUGAACCUCACCAGGACCCUGCGAUGAAGACAGAGGAAGUCGUUUAAAUCUCCACUGCAGAAAGAGCCUGGGACCCACCACUGACAGGCAUCCAUCUGGGUUUCCUGGUCUUGAACUAAGUGAGCCUUGCUGGGGCCAGCAGAGAGCUGCCCUACAACUGCUUCUCUUGGAAUGAAGGAAAAAUCUAGGAAAAGUUGGAGGGAAAGGGGCAACUUUUUUUUUUGCCCUAUCUGGACGGCAUAUCAACCCCAAAUGGUGACUUUUUUGUUGGCACAACUAGAUAUCCAUGUAUAAAAGAACAAAGUUGGACCCCUGCCUCACACUGCAUACAAAGAUUAACUCAAAAUGGAUCGUAGACAUAAAUGUAAGUGCCAAAAUGGUAAAAUUAUUUGAAGAAAACAUAGGAGUAAUUCUUUAUGACCAUUUCCUAGAUGCGACACCAGAAGUGCAAGUGAUCAAAGAAAAAUUAGAUAAAUUGCACUUCAUCAAAGCUUAAAAACUGGCCGGGCACAGUGGCUCACGCCUGUAAUCCCAGCACUUUGGGAGGCCGAGGCGGGCAGAUCACCUGAGGUCAGGAGUUCAAGACCAGCCUGACCAACAUGGAGAAACCCCAUCUCUACUAAAAAUACAAAAUUAGCUGGGCGUGGUGGUACAUGCCUGUAAUCCUAGCUACUUGGGAGGCUGAGGCAGGAGAAUCGCUUGAACCUGGGAGGUGGAGGUUGCAGUGAGCUGAGAUCAUUGCGCCAUUGCACUCCAGCCUGGGCAACAAGAGCAAAACUCUGUCUCAAAAAAAAAAAAAACUUAAAAACUUUUGUACUUCAGGGAACAUCAUCAAGAAAGUGAAAAGACUAGCUACAGAAUGGGAGAAGAUAUUUGAAAAUCAUAUGUUUGAUAGAAGGUUUACAUCUAUCAGAUAUAAAGAACUCUUGCAACUCAACAAUAAAAUGACAAGUACCCCAAUUAAAAAAGGAUUUGAGGCUGGGCGCAGUGGCUCAUGCCUGUAAUCCCAACACUUUGGGAGGGUGAGGCAGAUGGAUCACUUGAGGUCAGGAGUUCAAGACCAGCCUGGGCAACAUGGUGAAAUCUCUACUAAAAUAUAAAAAUUAGCCGGGCAUGGUGGCGCAUACCUGUAGUCCCAGCUACUCAGGAGGCUGAGGGAGGAGAAUCACUUGAACCCAGGAGGUGGAGGUUGCAGUGAGCUGAGAUUGCGCCACUGCACUAAAGCCUGAGGGACAAAGGGAGACUCCAUCUCAAAAAAAAAAAAAAAAAAAAAAGGAUUUGAAUAGACAUUUCUCCAAAGAAGAUAUACAAAUGGCCAAUAAACACAUGCAAAGAGGCUCAACGUCAUUAGUCAUGAGGGAAGAGCAAAUCAAAACCACAGUGAGAUGCCGCUUCAGUCCCACUACGCUGGCUAAGCUAGGAAAAGCAGACAAUGCCAAAUGUUAGGGAGAAUGUGGACAUACUGAACUCUCAUACAUUGCUGGUGGGAUUGUAAAAAUGCCACAACCACUUUGUAAAACAGUUAGGCAGUUCCUCAAAAUGUUAAACAUAGAGUCAUCAUGUGACCCAGCAAUUCCACUCCUAGGCAUACACUUAGGAGAAUGAAAACAUGUCCACACAACAACUUCUACAUAAAUGUUCAUAGCAGCACUAUUCAUGACAGCCAAAAAGAAGAAACAGCCGGGCAUAGUGGCUCAUACCUGUAUUCCCAGCACUUUGGGAGGCUGAGAUGGGAGGAUCACUUGAGCCCAGGUGUUUGAGACCACCCUGGGCAACAUAGUGAGACCCUGUCUCUACCAAAAUAAAAAAAAAAUUGGCCGAACAUGGUGGGUGCCUGUAGUCCCAACUACUUUGGAGGUUGAGGCAGGAGUAUCCCAACAGCCCGGGGAGAGGAGGUUGCAGUGAGCCAAGAUUGUGCCUCCGCACUCCAGCCUGGGUGACAGAGUGAGACCCUGUCUCAAAAAAAAGAAAGAAAGAAAGAAAUUAAGAAACAACCUAAAUGCUUACCAACUGAUAAAUGGAUAAGCAAACUGUGGUAUAUUUGUGCAAUGAAUGUUAUUCAGCAGUACAAAGUAAAGAAGUCGCAAUUUGUGCAACAACAUAGAUGAAACUUCAAACAGAAUUAGUGAAAGGAGGGUCACAAAAACCCCAUAUAUUACAUAAUUCCAUUUAUAUGAAAUGUCCGGAAUAAGCAAAUCCACAAAGACAGAAGGUAGAUUUGUGGUUGCCUGGGACUGGGGGGUGCAGAAUGAGGAGUAAUUCUAAUGAGUACAGGGGUUUUUUUGGAGUGAUAAAAUGUUCUAAAAUUAGGCAGUAGCGAUGGUUACACAACUCUCAAUAUACUAUACUAAAAUCAUUAUAUAUAUAUGCCCGGCUGGUCUUGAACUCCUGGGCUCAAGCAAUAUUCCCAGCUUGGCCUCCCAAAGUGCUGGGAUUACAGAUAUGGGCCACCAUGCCCAGCUGAGUUGUACAUUUUAAGUGGGUGAGUUUUUUGGUAUGUGACUUAGAUCUCAAAAAAGCCACACAUAUAUAUAAUCUAUUUUAAAAUAUGUAUUAUAUAUAUUUAAAAUAGAUUAUAUAUAUUUAAAAAUAUGUAUUUUACAUAUAUAUUAAAAAUAUAUGUGUAUAUUUUAAUGAAUGUCAGUCCUUGAUUGUCCUUGAAGCUACCUUUGGAGAAUUCUCUUUAGUUAAUGCCAGUUUCAUUUCUGACCUGAGUGCAGAUAAAGUGGGGGUCUGCUUGAAGCUGUCUUUUGCUGUGGCCCCCGCCUUCUGCCCAGCAGUUCAGGUUUUCCAGAUUCCCAUAUGCUUCCCUGACUCCAGGGCCAGGCACACGCCCCUUUUUAAAUCUGGAUCACCUGUUCACCUUGCCAACUGCUACCAUCCUUCCCCUUGCGGCCGUCCCUGGCUAAGGUUGCAGAGGGUACGCCCACUUUUCACCUCCAUUCCAUUGUAUUGUGUUGGCUUUUCACAAAGCCAUAUACUCCCUGAGGACAGUGAAGCACUGGUUUUUUCCAGCACUAUAUGCAAGCACAGUCUUGAUUAUCACUGAAUGAGUGAAUGAAUGUGUGAAUGUAUGCCUGAAAAAGAAUAUGUAUUUGUGGCCAGGCACGGUGGCUCACGCCUGUAAUCCCAGGACUUUGGGAGGCCGAGGCAGGUGGAUCACCUGAGGUCAGGAGUUCGGGACCAGCCUGGCCAACAUGGUGAAACUCCGUCUCUACUGAAAAUACAAAAAAAUUAGCCGGGUGUGGUGGCGCAUGCCUGUAGUACCAGCUACUUGGGAGGCUGAGGCAGGAGAAUCGCUUAAACCCAGGAGGCAGAGGUUGCAGUGAGCUGAGAUCGUGCCACUGCACUCCAGCCUGGGUGACAAAGCGAGACUCCGUCUCAAAAACCAACCAACCAAACAAAAACCAUGCAUUUGUAUGGAGUGGAAGAAUAUGGAGAAGUGGAAAGACUAGGGAAAAGGAAGAAGGGAGAAUUUGAACUAAAAUGAUAUUACCAUAUACCCAUGUUUUUUCAGUUUCCUCACAAAUGUGUUUUCUCAGCCCUAUCACCAUUUUGACCAUUUGAGCCUCAAAUAUCCAAGAUUGUCUUCUUGGUUUCAGUCUUAUGAAUCAAGCCAAACCUUUGGCCUUUCAAGAAAACACCCAUUACCUUGUUUUCCUACUCUUUGGCUCAGAAAUUUUCAGUGGGGAAUCUAGCUGAAGAUAAUAACAGUAACAGCCACCCAAAUACAGGGUAGGGGAUGAACUCUAGAAUUUUAUGCAGGACGUUACUUAUCAGGGCCUUAUGUAUAAUAGCCAAAAAUUGGAAAUAACCUAAAUGUCCAACAGUAGGGUAGUCUACAUUACACCAUGCCCCCAAGAAGGAAUAAUAUGCACCCAUUAAAAGAAUUUAAUGACCUGGGAAAAUGCUUGCAUCAUAUGUUAAGUGAAAAAGAGUAGGUUAUAAACUGGUGAUCACUAAUAUGUAAACGCUGCCCACACACACGCACUCAAAAACACCUGGAGAAAAACAUAUCAAAAUGAUUUCAGUGGUUUCCUUUUGGUAAUGUAACUGUGGUAUCUUUCUCAUUUAUUUCUUUAACUUAUCCACGUGUUCUACAAUGAACAGAUAAGAUUUAACACAGGAAAAAAAACAAAAAGCAAAUAACAAAAAGCCCUAAGCCUGACUCUGUCCACUGCUCUUUCUUGGGAAAUUCCCUCUGCACCUGCUUUGUUCAGGCAACCACAUCUGUCUCCAAAUCCUAGCCCUGCACUCCCAACCUGGCAGGACCAGCCCUUUGCCAGUUCCCUCUGGCCACUGAGGCAGGUCCUCAAGUCCCAGCCCUCCAGGAAGCCUUUCUUUUUCUUUCUUUCUUUCUUUUUUUUUUUUUUUUUUGGUUUGAGACGUUGUCUCACUCUGUCGCCCAGCCUGGAGUGCAGUGGCACGAUCUCAGCUCACUGCAGGCUCCGCCUCCCAGGUUCACGCCAUUCUCCUGCCUCAGCCUCCCAAGUAGCUGGGAUUACAGGUGCCCGCCACCAAGCCCGGCUAAUUUUUUGUAUUUUUAGUGGAGACUGGGUUUCACCGUGUUAGCCAGGAUGUUCUCCAUCUCCUGACCUCAAGUGAUCCUCCCACCGCGGCCUCCCAAAGUGCUGGGAUUACAGGCAUGAGCCACUGCGCCUGGCCUUGGGAAAGCCUUUCUUAGUUAUGAGAAAGAAACUGUUCUCUUCCCCACCCUGGCUGAAUACAGUGCCGCCACAUCUCUGUUUGCUGGUUGUGUCCAAGAAAAUCUGCCUCUUAGCUGGGGCUGGACCUCAAAGGAUGCUUUUUGAUGUGGCACAGGAGCUGGGGCAGUUGGCGCUGUGUUUUUCUGUGCAGGGUCUCUGAGUCUAAACUCCCAGGAAGAAGUUCAAGUGUUGAGGCCAUACAUCUCAUCACUGUUGGAUGUUGAGAACGGUGGUGAUGACUUUUUGGUCUGCAUGUACUGAUUUGUCAUGAGAAAGACAUCUCCUGGCCAUUUAAAAACCACCCAAACAGUCUUUAAACAGUUUUUAAGAAGCCAUCAAAGGUGUUUAUACUUAACCUGGACCAGCAACCUUCUUAAAGGAGUCAGGCUGAACUUUGGUCAGGAGGAAGUGUUUGUGCAAAUAUUGUAGAUGUCACGCCAACACACUUAGAUUUUUCGUGAGUUGAUUGCCCAAGUGUCUAUCCAGCUUAUUCCUGAAUUGGGAUUAAAUUAGAGAAAGCUUUGGUGGAAAAAGUUAGUGGGUCAGCAAACAUUUGGGUUUCCUAGCGUGUUCCUGACGCUUGCAGCAUAGAGCACUUGAGAAAUGCUGUGGCUUUAUCAAAGCAAUAAACAAAUCCUGCAGAACUUCCUGGUCAUAUAUUCCACCCACAUGAAACAUAACAAGGAAGGCUCAGAGGGUAAGAUGGAGCGUCUCUUGGGUCCUUCAAGAACGGAGCACGCAUCAUAGCUCUUGUGGAGUUUUGAGCUAAUUACCCUGGCUUAUGUAUGAAAUGUGUCAGAAUUAAGGACCCAGAUAAAUUGAAUAUCUUGGCAUCAACUUUUGGUGUUUUUGAAACUGAGAAAGAAAGAUUUGGUGUGCCAGCCUCCCUCAUCAGUCUGGUAUUCUACCUGUCAUCUUCAACAAGAUAAACAAACCACGGACAUAUUUUUCUUCCCCGCAGAACUGCACCCUUUUUCAUGACUAGUUCUGGGUACUGUUAGGCAAUAGGAAUCUAGUAGAAUGGAGGUGGGGAAGCAUUUUUUAAUUCUACCCUCUUCUCAAAUAUUUAAAGUAGAAGAAUGAGUGGUUGAGGGCCUGUCACAUUUUUCAAUUCUUUUCCAUUCCUGCCACCCAAACGCAGCCCUUAAUCGUGCUUUUUUCAGGCCACUAGAGUUGGCAUUUCCCUUUUGUCUAUUCUGCUUUAUUUUAUUUUGUUUUGUUUUGAGACAGAGUCUCACUCUGUCACCCAGGCUGGAGUGCAGUGGCGCGAUCUCAGCUCACUGCAACCUCCGCCCCCUGGGUUCACGUGAUUCUCCUGCCUCAGCCUCCUAAGUAGCUGGGAUUACAGGCACCCACCACCAAGCCCGGCUAAUUUUUGUAUUUUUAGUAGAGACGAGGUUUCACCAUGUUGGCCAGACUGGUCUGGAGCUCCUGACCUCGUGAUCUGCCUGCCUUGGCCUCCCAAAGUGCUGGGAUUACAGAGGUGGGCCACCACGCCCGGUCCCCCUUCGUCCAUUUUAUCAAGGCUGGAGGUACUGAGGUUCCCAAAGACGAUUCUGAGGAAGAGCAGAUGGUCUUUGUCCUGCCAUUUCCAUGGCUUGCAUUUUUGUUGAACAGGGUAUGUAAGCUUAGGGCAAAAAUGAAAAUGCUGAGAACGAUAGGAGGGGUAUUGAGGGACCAACAGGGAGGAGAAGAGAGAGGGGGUGAUCAGGGGUAGCAGGAGUGAGGAAACUUAGCAGGGAAUUGUGUGUGUUGUCAUUGGGCUCCAUGUGGGACUCGCUUCCCCAUCUCCCAGGAGCUCUCCAGUAAGACAUCCAUUUCUUGUUGAUGCAUUGACCAGUUGAAUCUGUUGGGAGAACUGGUGCAUUCGUUCAUUCAACAAGUAUGUAUUGAGUGCCUACAUUACACGAGGCAGUGUUACAAGUGUUGAGGAUAAAGUAGUGAGUCAGACACACCCAAUGCCUAAUGACUUGAAUGAAUACCCACCAUGACUGGAUGAAUCUUCAAGGAAUUCUGCUGUGUGAGAAAGGCCAAUCCCAAAAGGUUAAUACCGCAUCAUCCCAUUUACAUAACAUUUUUGAAAUGACACCAUUUUAUGGUGGUUGCCAAGGGUUAGGGAUCGGAGGUGAGGAGGGCAGGAGGUAGGUUUGGUGAUAAAAAAAGUGACAUGAGGGAUCCUCGUGCUGACGUGCUAUUUGGUAUCUUGCCUGUGAUGGUGGAUGCAGUCUAGAAUUUGUCUAGAACUAUACACACAUACACACAAAUGAGUACAAGUAAAACUGGGAAAUCUAAAUAAGAUUGGUGGAUAAUAUCAAUAUCCUGGUUGUGAUAUUAUACUAUAUCAUUCUGCAAAAUGUUACAAAUGGGGGGGAAACUGGGUAAAGUCUGCAUGAGAUCUUUCUGUAUAAUUUCUCAACACUGCAUGUGCAUGUACAAUUAUCUCAAUAAAAACUUCAACUAAGAAAAAAAAAAAGGCUUGGCUGGACAUGGUGGCUCACGCCUGUAAUCCCGGCACUUUGGGAGGCUGAGGUGGCAGAUCACCUAAGGUCAGGAGUUCAAGACCAGGCUGGCCAACAUGGUGAAACCCCAUCUUUACUUAAAAAAACAAA